CUGAUAACACCUCAAAGAACCUGUUGUAAAGGGAUUUCUGCUGGAUUGCUUUCCCCCAGCCAUGCGCCUGACACCACCUCUUCCUGCUCUCAGUGAUGGUGUUUUCCAUACCCAUAGCUUCCUCCUUACCUUGCUCGCCCUUUGGACCAUUCUUCCCAUCUCUGCCAUUGGUGCCAGGUUGGCCUGGUGACCCCGGAAUGCCUGGGAUGGUUCCAUAAGUCUUGCAGAGCGUGGCGCUUGCCAGCUGCCCUCCAGCAAGGCAGAUCAACACCACCCACACGGUCUGCAUCUUGUCUUCCUGCUGGAGCACAGAAGGAUGCUGAGAUAGACAAGUGGGUAAGAAGCAGAACCUCAAACCAUCUCCACGGAGCCAGG
rnacentral:lncRNA from 1 species